AGGAGACCAGAUGAUGACAUUCAUAGGCUUAUAGACUGGACUCCUGGGGGCACACUUGGAUGGAGGCAAUUAAAAUGCCUGUCAGGCAUUUGGUACCAGAAAUCCCUGUGGCAAACCGCUAAAUCCUAAGCUGGGACACCAUCCUAUUGUCAGUGAAUGAUGGCGGAGCUGAGAGGCUUGUCAUCAUUCUCGAAAAUUCUGAGCCUAGUGAGCUCUCUCUCCCUCUCCUAUUUGCCUUAUUUUCCUUUCCGCCACUGCGGGGACUUUUUUUAAUUUGCAGCUUCCCUUUCCCUGGCACACACAGACACGAGCUGGUGGCUUUUCAGACUGCGUCUGUCUGGAGCGAGAGAGACACAGCAGAGGGAGUGUUCUUGGAGGAGGGCUCCGCAGCAGGUCCACCGGACUCGAUUCAGGGGGCAUUGCUGCUUAUGCACUGAUUCUUCAGCUUGUCUCUACCAGAGGAAGCCCUGAUUGGGAACCACUCAAUCAGCAAAUUAAAAGAAAGAAGCCAGCAUAUCCCAUCAGUCCUUUGAGAACACACGGACAUCACUACUUCAAACUUCCUUGAGUAGGUAAGAUUGUACUCUUGCUGCCGUAGAAAAGCGGCCUGCUAUUGUGAAA